AUCAGUGGCGAACGGGUGAGUAACACGUGAGCAAUCUGCCCUUGACUCUGGGAUAACUGCGGGAAACUGUAGCUAAUACCGGAUAUUACCUUGGAAGGCAUCUUCUGGGGUGGAAAGAAUUUCGGUCAGGGAUGGACUCGCGGCCUAUCAGCUAGUUGGUGAGGUAAUGGCCCACCAAGGCGACGACGGGUAGCCGGCCUGAGAGGGUGACCGGCCACACUGGGACUGAGACACGGCCCAGACUCCUACGGGAGGCAGCAGUGGGGAAUAUUGCACAAUGGGCGCAAGCCUGAUGCAGCAACGCCGCGUGAGGGACGACGGCCUUCGGGUUGUAAACCUCUUUUAGUAGGGAAGAAGCGAAGUGUUUUACAUGGAGUGACGGUACCUGCAGAAAAAGCACCGGCUAACUACGUGCCAGCAGCCGCGGUAAUACGUAGGGUGCAAGCGUUAUCCGGAAUUAUUGGGCGUAAAGAGCUCGUAGGCGG
rnacentral:rRNA from 1 species